rnacentral:rRNA from 1 species
CAGCCGUAAACGAUGCGCGUUAGGUGUAUCGACGACCACGAGUCGUCGAGGUGCCGAAGGGAAACCGUGAAACGUGCCGCCUGGGAAGUACGGUCGCAAGGCUGAAACUUAAAGGAAUUGGCGGGGGAGCACCACAACAGGUGGAGCCUGCGGUUUAAUUGGACUCAACGCCGGGAAGCUCACCGGAUAGGACAGCAGAAUGAUUGCCGGGCUGAAGACCCUGCAUGACUAGCUGAGAGGAGGUGCAUGGCGUAGACGUCU